GAUGAACGCUGGCGGCGUGCCUAAUACAUGCAAGUCGAGCGAACAGACGAGGAGCUUGCUCCUCUGACGUUAGCGGCGGACGGGUGAGUAACACGUGGAUAACCUACCUAUAAGACUGGGAUAACUUCGGGAAACCGGAGCUAAUACCGGAUAAUAUAUUGAACCGCAUGGUUCAAUAGUGAAAGACGGUUUUGCUGUCACUUAUAGAUGGAUCCGCGCCGCAUUAGCUAGUUGGUAAGGUAACGGCUUACCAAGGCAACGAUGCGUAGCCGACCUGAGAGGGUGAUCAGCCACACUGGAACUGAGACACGGUCCAGACUCCUACGGGAGGCAGCAGUAGGGAAUCUUCCGCAAUGGGCGAAAGCCUGACGGAGCAACGCCGCGUGAGUGAUGAAGGUCUUCGGAUCGUAAAACUCUGUUAUUAGGGAAGAACAAAUGUGUAAGUAACUAUGCACGUCUUGACGGUACCUAAUCAGAAAGCCCCGGCUAACUACGUG
rnacentral:rRNA from 1 species